rnacentral:rRNA from 1 species
AACGAACGCUGGCGGCAUGCCUAACACAUGCAAGUCGAACGAGACCUUCGGGCCUAGUGGCGCACGGGGGCGUAACGCGUGGGAACCUGCCCUUAGGUUCGGAAUAACUCCCCGGAUGGGGUGCUAAUACCGGAUAAUAUCUUCCAACCAAAGAUUUAUCGCCUUUGGAUGGGCCCGCGUUGGAUUACCUAGUUGGUAGGGUAAAACCCUACCACGGCAAGGUUACAUAGCUGGUUAGUGAGGCAGGUCACCCACACUGGCAGUAGGACACGGCCCGGACUCUUACGGGAGGCGGGAGAGGGGAAUAUUGGACAGCGGGGGGUAGCCUGAAGGAGCAAUGACGGGUGAGUGAUGAAGGCCGUAGGGUUGUAAAGCUCUUUUACCCGGGAUGAUAAUGACGGUACCGGGAGAAUAAGCACCGGCUAACUCCGUG